GACCACGUGGCCUAAUGGACAAGGCGUCUGACUUCGGAUCAGAAGAUUGAGAAUUCGAGUCCCUUCUUGGUUG
rfam:Gasterosteus aculeatus cont1.013986, whole genome shotgun sequence.